rnacentral:rRNA from 1 species
UGGGGAAUAUUGGACAAUGGGCGAAAGCCUUAUCCAGCCAUGCCGCGUGUGUGAAGAAGGUCGUCGGAUUGUAAAGCACUUUAAGUUGGGAGGAAGGGCAGUAAGCGAAUACCUUGCUGUUUUGACGUUACCGACAGAAUAAGCACCGGCUAACUCUGUGCCAGCAGCCGCGGUAAUACAGAGGGUGCAAGCGUUAAUCGGAAUUACUGGGCGUAAAGCGCGCGUAGGUGGUUCGUUAAGUUGAAUGUGAAAGCCCCGGGCUCAACCUUGGAACUGCAUCCAAAACGGGCGAGCUAGAGUAGGGCAGAGGGUGGUGGAAUUUCCUGUGUAGCGGUGAAAUGCGUAGAUAUAGGAAGGAACACCAGUGGCGAAGGCGACCACCUGGGCUCAUACUGACACUGAGGUGCGAAAGCGUGGGGAGCAAACAGG